CGUCAGGGGAUGCGGAUUAAGGGCGGGCAAACCCCGCCAGGGCCGGAAGGCAGCAACGGUAGUUCGACCCUUUUUGUCGCAAGCCUCUGGCGGCA
rnacentral:SRP_RNA from 2 species